rnacentral:rRNA from 1 species
UGCGUAGGCGGCGCGGUAAGUCGGGUGUGAAAUCUCGGAGCUUAACUCCGAAACUGCAUUCGAUACUGCCGUGCUCGAGGACUGGAGAGGAGACUGGAAUUUACGGUGUAGCGGUGAAAUGCGUAGAUAUCGUAAGGAAGACCAGUGGCGAAGGCGGGUCUCUGGACAGUUCCUGACGCUGAGGCACGAAGGGUCAGGGAGGCAAACG